rnacentral:rRNA from 1 species
GACGAACGCUGGCGGCGUGCUUAACACAUGCAAGUCGAACGGAAAGGCCCUGCUUUUGUGGUGUUCUCGAGUGGCGAAGGGGUGCGUAACACGUGAGUAACCUGCCCUUGACUUUGGUAUAACUUCAGGAAACUGGGGCUAAUCCCGGAUCGGAGCUCCUGCUGCAUGGUGGGUGUUGGAUCGUUUCGGCGGUUGGGGAUGGACUCGCGGCUUAUCAGCUAGUUGGUGGGGUAGUGGCUUACCAAGGCUUUGACGGGUAGCCGGCCUGUGAAGGUGACCGGGGACAUGAGGACUAAGGGAGGGACCAGACGCGUACGGGGGACAGCAGGGGGAAAUAUUGCACAAUGAGCGGGAGCGGGUUAAGAAGGCGCCGGGGGCGGGAUGACGGUCUUCGGGUAAAGAACAGCUGUAGCCUAUGACGAAGCGGGAGUGACGGUAAUGAGUGAAGAAGCACCGGCUAACUACGUG